AAAGUAUCAACAUUAAAUUUCAAAUUUACGAAGAGUUUAGGGAGUAGGGACUUAUAGCACAUCUUAACCAGAGCAAAAAUAGACACGUGAAAAGGAGAAAAAAUGGCGGUUGGCAAGGGAAGAGAGGUCAUGGGGAGCAAUGGUUGCUAAAAUAAUGGCGGACAUGAAUGGCAUAGAUCAAAUGAAAAGCUCCAAAACAGACGGUUCAGAAAUCCCACUAAUAACCCUUAAUCUUUGCCAUUGUUAUUCAAACUUGAAGCCCCUCUCCCCCCAUUGCUUUCCCCCUCGUAGCUCCCCCAAUAACAUCAUUAUCAUCUCAUGCAAAACCCAACGAAACAAAAAAUGUCGUGGCAAACUUACGUAGAUGAGCACUUGAUGUGUGACAUUGAAGGCCAAGACCAACAUCUUAAAGCUCCGUCUUCCCUCAGGUGUUUGAUGUAAUUCCCCUAUGAAGGUUUUGUUCUUAUUUGCAGUUAAAUGCUAGUGAGGUCACAAAGAUUUUGAUGAACCGGGCCACCUUGCUCCUAAAGGGUUACAUCUUGCCGUUGCAAAGUAUAUGGUCAUACAGGGUGAGCCUGGUGCUGUCAUUCGUGGAAAAAAAGGGAACAGGAGGAGUGACCAUUAAGAAAACAGGACAAGGUCUUAUAUUUGGUAUCUAUGAAGAACCAGUGACUCCAGGACAAUGCAACAUGGUUGUUGAAAGGUUGGGUGAUUAUCUUGCUGAACAGGGACUUUGAAAUUAAAAAGAUAAAAAUAAAACCUACCUUCAAAAUCAAUGCCCUUUUUCUUGAAAUUUAAUUUUGUCAUUCAAAACUAUGCAUAUAUUAAAUUUAAUUGGCAUAUUGGUUGAUUGAUUUGCUUCUUUCACCAUAUAUGCCCCCUUUUUCUUCUUCUUGGUUAUGUGUAAUCCCCAUCAAUGGUUACCUUAUCUAUUUUUUGUUGCCA